rnacentral:rRNA from 1 species
GUUGCACCAGUCGAGAAACCUCCGCAAUACACGAAAGUGUGACGGGGCCAUCCCGAGUGCCGUCCGCUGAGGACGGCUUUUUCCCCAGUGUACACAGCUGGGGGAAUAAGGAGAGGGCAAGCCUGGUGUCAGCCGCCGCGGUAAUACCAGCUCUCCGAGUGGCGGGGACGCUUAUUGGGCCUAAAGCAUCCGUAGCCGGCUGGGCAAGUCCUCCGUUAAAUCCAACGAUUCAAUCGUUGGGCUGCGGGGGAUACUGUCCAGCCUUGGGGCGGGAGAGGCCGACGGUA